UACAGAGGUCUCAAGCGUUGUUCGGAAUCACUGGGCGUAAAGGGUGCGGAGGCGGCGUGGAAAGUCAGAUGUGAAAUCCGGGGGCUCAACCUCCGAAUAGCAUCCGAUACUACCAUGCUAGAGAACUGGAGGGGAGUCUGGAAUUCUCGGUGUAGCAGUGAAAUGCAUAGACAUCGAGAGGAACACCAGUGGCGAAGGCGAGACUCUGGACAGUAUCUGACGCUGAUGCACGAAGGCCAGGGUAGCGAACGGG
rnacentral:misc_RNA from 1 species